rnacentral:rRNA from 1 species
GACGAACGCUGGCGGCGUGCUUAGCACAUGCAAGUCGAGCGAUGAAGCUUCUUCGGAAGUGGAUUAGCGGCGGACGGGUGAGUAACACGUGGGUAACCUGCCUCAUAGAGGGGAAUAGCCUUCCGAAAGGGAGAUUAAUACCGCAUAAGAUUGUAAUAUCGCAUGAUAUAGCAAUUAAAGGAGUAAUCCGCUAUGUAGAUGGACCCGCGUCGCAUUAGCUAGUUGGUGGGGUAACGGCUCACCAAGGCGACGAUGCGUAGCCGACCUGAGAGGGUGAUCGGCCACAUUCGGACUGAGACACGGCCCAGACUCCUACGGGAGGCAGCAGUGGGGAAUGUUGCACAAUGGGGGAAGCCCUGAUGCAGCAACGCCGCGUGAGUGAUGACGGUCUUCGGAUUGUAAAGCUCUGUCUUCAGGGACGAUAAUGACGGUACCUGAGGAGGAAGCCACGGCUAACUACGUGCCAGCCGCCGCGGUAA